rnacentral:rRNA from 1 species
UACGUAGGGUGCAAGCGUUGUCCGGAAUUAUUGGGCGUAAAGAGCUCGUAGGCGGUUUGUCGCGUCGAAUGUGAAAACCCGGGGCUCAACCCCGGGCCUGCAUUCGAUACGGGCAGACUAGAGUUCGGUAGGGGAGUCUGGAAUUCCUGGUGUAGCGGUGAAAUGCGCAGAUAUCUGGAAGAACACCAGCGGCGAAGGCGGUCAACUGGCCCAUAACUGACGCUCAGGCACGAAAGCGUGGGUAGCAAACAGG